AGUCGGGUCCUGCGCAACAAAUGGUUACAAACCCCGUCAGGUCCGGAAGGAAGCAGCGGUAGUAGCCCACUUUGUGUGCCGCAGGGGUGCCUGGCUAUC
rfam:Deltaproteobacteria bacterium RBG_16_48_10 RBG_16_scaffold_8304, whole genome shotgun sequence.